UAUGGUGUCCCAGGCGUAGAGGAACCACACCAACCCAUCCCGAACUUGGUGGUUAAACUCUACUGCGGUGACAAUACUAUAGGGGAAGCCCUGCGGGAAAAUAGCUCGGUGCCAGGA
rnacentral:rRNA from 1 species